rfam:Gossypium hirsutum cultivar TM-1 chromosome 18, whole genome shotgun sequence
CACGUCAGCGCGCUUUGCUGACGUGGACACAAAUCAUGCUUCAGAGGACGCGAUUUAUUGCCAUGUCAGCAAAGCGCGCUGACGUGG